rnacentral:rRNA from 1 species
AGUGAACGCUGGCGGUAGGCCUAACACAUGUAAGUCGAACGGCAGCACAAGAGAGCUUGCUCUCUGGGUGGCGAGUGGCGGACGGGUGAGGAAUACAUCGGAAUCUACUCUGUCGUGGGGGAUAACGUAGGGAAACUUACGCUAAUACCGCAUACGACCUACGGGUGAAAGCAGGGGACCUUCGGGCCUUGCGCGAUUGAAUGAGCCGAUGUCGGAUUAGCUAGUUGGCGGGGUAAAGGCCCACCAAGGCGACGAUCCGUAGCUGGUCUGAGAGGAUGAUCAGCCACACUGGAACUGAGACACGGUCCAGACUCCUACGGGAGGCAGCAGUGGGGAAUAUUGGACAAUGGGCGCAAGCCUGAUCCAGCCAUACCGCGUGGGUGAAGAAGGCCUUCGGGUUGUAAAGCCCUUUUGUUGGGAAAGAAAUCCAGCUGGCUAAUACCCGGUUGGGAUGACGGUACCCAAAGAAUAAGCACCGGCUAACUUCGUGCCAGCAGCCGCAGUAA